CCUACGGGAGGCAGCAGUAGGGAAUCUUGCACAAUGGGGGAAACCCUGAUGCAGCGAUGCCGCGUGAGUGAAGAAGGCCUUUGGGUUGUAAAGCUCUUUCGUCGGGGAAGAAAAUGACUGUACCCGAAUAAGAAGGUCCGGCUAACUUCGUGCCAGCAGCCGCGGUAAUACGGAGGAUCCAAGCGUUAUCCGGAAUCAUUGGGUUUAAAGGGUCCGUAGGCGGUUUUUUAAGUCAGAGGUGAAAUCCUGCAGCUCAACUGUAGAAUUGCCUUUGAUACUGAAAGACUUGAGUUAUUGUGAAGUGGUUGNAAUG
rnacentral:rRNA from 1 species